rnacentral:lncRNA from 1 species
UCGAAUUUUAGAUUUUAGAAACCUUAAUAUAUAUAUAGUUAUGAUGAUUAGUCGAGUUAAUCUCUCAGUGUACAGAUAAAAUAAGAUAAUAGUUCAUGAAAUAUAGUAUGAGAUUUUAUCUUGUCAAUAGAAUCAUGUCUGAUCUUGCGUCUCGAUACCAUGCAGAAUGCAAAUAUGUACUUAUAAAGACGGGUCUGAGGUGGGAUAGUCUAAGUCUAGAUCAUGACUCUAAACUUAAUACGACCGGGACGUGCGGCGCCAGUAUUCAGAUACGCCUUAUUUUACGAUUGAGGCGAAGGGAAUAGGAGGAUCCUCACUUUUGG